rnacentral:ncRNA from 1 species
ACUCUUUAAGACCGUCUAUGCGUUACUAACGAUAUGGACUGACACUUGUCGGUGUCGAAAGGUCAAGGAAGUUGGUGAUUUGAUCGCAUGCGAAUCUGCGAUCGAAGCUCCGAUGAACGGCGGCCAUAACUAUAACGGUCCUAAAGUAGCGAAAUUUAAUUUCUUGACGAAUAAGUUUCAACCCGUACGAAAGGUAUAA